rnacentral:piRNA from 1 species
UUCUGCAGAGCUUGUCCAUCACACC